UACAGAGGUGGCAAGCGUUGUUCGGAAUUACUGGGCGUAAAGGGCGAGUAGGUGGCCAUCUAAGUCAGACGUGAAAUCCCCCGGCUUAACCUGGGAACUGCGUCUGAUACUGGACGGCUUGAGUAUGGGAGAGGAACGUAGAAUUCCAGGUGUAGCGGUGAAAUGCGUAGAUAUCUGGAGGAAUACCGGUGGCGAAGGCGGGUCUCUGGGCAAUAACUGACGCUGAGGAGCGAAAGCGUGGGGAGCAAACAGG
rnacentral:rRNA from 1 species